AACGAACGCUGGCGGCAGGCUUAACACAUGCAAGUCGAGCGCCCCGCAAGGGGAGCGGCAGACGGGUGAGUAACGCGUGGGAAUCUACCCACCUCUACGGAAUAACGCAUGGAAACGUGUGCUAAUACCGUAUACGUCCUUCGGGAGAAAGAUUUAUCGGAGAUGGAUGAGCCCGCGUUGGAUUAGCUAGUUGGUGGGGUAAUGGCCUACCAAGGCGACGAUCCAUAGCUGGUCUGAGAGGAUGAUCAGCCACACUGGGACUGAGACACGGCCCAGACUCCUACGGGAGGCAGCAGUGGGGAAUAUUGGACAAUGGGCGCAAGCCUGAUCCAGCCAUGCCGCGUGAGUGAUGAAGGCCCUAGGGUUGUAAAGCUCUUUCACCGGUGAAGAUAAUGACGGUAACCGGAGAAGAAGCCCCGGCUAACUUCGUGCCAGUAGCCGCCGCCGUAA
rnacentral:rRNA from 1 species